rnacentral:lncRNA from 1 species
CUUCGAGUUGCGUUCAGACCCAGGCAGAGGCCCCAUGUAACACCUGAUGUGACCAAUUCUUUCACGCCCUUUAGCACAAAUUCAACUUAUUUUGGAAACUGUCUCCCUCCCACAAAUGACCCCACCUCAUCAAAGCUGUGCCUGUGUGUAGAGCGGCUCCAAACUAGUGGGGCAGGUGGGGAACAAGGUGGAGGUGGGAGACUGGUUGGCUGGGGAGCCGGCGCUAGUGCGGUACUGCUGCAGAGCUGGUGCCUACGACGACAGACACGUCAGGACACUCGCAGGGCCCUGGGCCUGGCCUCCCGGGCCUGGCCGCCCCCGGCCCAGUGCCUGGCGAGGCCCCCACCCUUCAGGCAAGCAGAAUACCGGGCAUCUGUGGGAGGGCACCUGAGCCCUGGGCCGGAAAGGGGCCCGGCCUCCAAACCCAAGUCUGGGAGGGGUAGGAGCACACGGUCGGAGUCCAGAACCCAGCCUCUCAGAGUUGCCUUGGGGGCUAUGGAAGGGCAGAGGGGUCGGCCUCUACUCAGCAGGUUUAGAGCACUCACACGGAGGCACACCAGUACCCACACACACAUGCACACAGCUGUGCACACACCCGCACACACGCUCGGGCAGGGAAGGCCCCAGGCGAGUGAGACGCCUCGCGCGGCAGCAGCACUGGGUAGGAGGGAUCCUGGUGCCCGGCGGCCACUAGCACCCGUGUUGCUUGGGACCGGCCCUCUGGGUAAUGCACAGACUUCUAAAGGGCAGCCACCUCUUCACUUGAAUGACAAAGGGUCUUGCCGUCUCACCAGACCCCUGGGGGCCAAGACCCGCUAGGCCAGGACCUGAAUCUAGUCCCUGCUCUGGUCCCACUCAGGGCAGCCCUGCUGUGGGUCUCUCGGCAAGCUGCUUGACCUCUCUGAGCCUGCCAUUUAAUGAGACCCAGCUGGCUGGCUCAGGGCCCCCUAAGUACUGCGUCUCCUUCAUUUCUUCAGCGGCCCGAGAAGUUUGGAAUAGGGGUUGAGCCCAGACAGGGCAGGGGGCUCACGCAGCAGGGUUUGAGUGUCCGAGACACAGCAUGGUCGCUUGGCAGUGACCAGCUCAGGUCUUCUUGGGGUUGGGAAGAUGAAAAUGAUCAGAGGGACAUUCUCCUCACUUGAGCGGGUGUGUGGAAGCUCACAGAGGCCGCCCCUGGAGCCCGAGCCCCGAGCGUGCCAGCUCCCGUCGGGGUGGUGGGUGGAUUACCCCACUACAGGGUCCUGAUUCGAGAGCUUGGCUUGGAUACCCCAUGCCUCCACUGUCCCUCCAGCUCCACCGCAAGGUUCUGCCACUGCAGGGUGUCAUGGGACGGGGUGCCCCAGGCAGCUCCACCAUCAGAGCCACCCUCGUAACUGCUGUGUCUCUGCCAAAGGCAAGGUUUGGGUGCAGUCCCGUCCUGGGGACCCCUGAGGUCUACCCUCUGAGCGAUCAGAACAGCUUGGAGGUGUGAGCCUCCCCCUGUUCGGGGACCUGCCAGCCCUGUCCGGCCCAGGAGGCUUGUUCUUUACAGAACACACAGUGCUCUGAUGACAUGCACCCUGGGGCUGCUGGCCAUGGGCCAAGUGAGCAGGGAGGGCUGGCUGGGCCCCCAGCAUGCGUCCGUUUCUCUGAAUGUGGCCAAAGGUAGCUGUCACCACUCCCUUCCCACCAGGGCAACCUAAAUAAAAGUCUGAACAGACAAGAAGGUUUGCAGGUGCUGUCAAACCGCCCCCAAAGCUAGCAUUUGUUACCCUGCGCCUGGUCCCAGGCAAGGGGGUCCCACGGCCUGAGCUGCAGACCCUGGGCCCAGGACACCGUGCUGUAAGAACCGCAGAAUUGGUUUCACCCCUUCUAUUCCUCCCAGGUCAUCUCUACCACUCUGGCUCCUGGAAGUCCAUUCCCCAGCCCCUGCAAGCUGUGUGCACCCUGCCUCUGAGGAAGCCUUGGGUGGGAAGGGCUGAAGGGGGCAUCCAGGCCCAUGGGAGAGGGACACAGGGUGGCCCAUGCCGCGUGAAGUUUGGGGCACCUGACCCUGCUCAUGAAUCAGUUUCCCCACCUCUGUGAGGAGGACAAACUUGGCUUGAGGACUUCAGGCAGAAUUCCCCAUUGAGCCCCUGGCCACAGACAGCGUGUGCCUCUGCUCCGACCCCUGGCCAAGCUGGCCUCAAAACAGAGCCUCGAGGUGGCUGCAGAUAAAGCCAGGAGCCUUGAUGCCCCCCCAGCCCCCAGGUUCCUCCUGCACAAGCCCCCCCCCCCCCCCCCCCCACCCCGCCCCCCCCCCCCCUUCACGCGCCCGGCACACACCCCCACCGCCACGCCCC